AGAGUUUGAUCAUGGCUCAGAUUGAACGCUGGCGGCAGGCCUAACACAUGCAAGUCGAACGGUAACAGGAAGCAGCUUGCUGCUUUGCUGACGAGUGGCGGACGGGUGAGUAAUGUCUGGGAAGCUGCCUGAUGGAGGGGGAUAACUACUGGAAACGGUAGCUAAUACCGCAUAACGUCGCAAGACCAAAGAGGGGGACCUUCGGGCCUCUUGCCAUCGGAUGUGCCCAGAUGGGAUUAGCUAGUAGGUGGGGUAACGGCUCACCUAGGCGACGAUCCCUAGCUGGUCUGAGAGGAUGACCAGCCACACUGGAACUGAGACACGGUCCAGACUCCUACGGGAGGCAGCAGUGGGGAAUAUUGCACAAUGGGCGCAAGCCUGAUGCAGCCAUGCCGCGUGUAUGAAGAAGGCCUUCGGGUUGUAAAGUACUUUCAGCGGGGAGGAAGGAAGUAAAGUUAAUACCUUUGCUCAUUGACGUUACCCGCAGAAGAAGCACCGGCUAACUCCGUGCCAGCAGCCGCGGUAAUACGGAGGGUGCAAGCGUUAAUCGGAAUUACUGGGCGUAAAGCGCACGCAGGCGGUUUGUUAAGUCAGAUGUGAAAUCCCCGGGCUCAACCUGGGAACUGCAUCUGAUACUGGCAAGCUUGAGUCUCGUAGAGGGGGGUAGAAUUCCAGGUGUAGCGGUGAAAUGCGUAGAGAUCUGGAGGAAUACCGGUGGCGAAGGCGGCCCCCUGGACGAAGACUGACGCUCAGGUGCGAAAGCGUGGGGAGCAAACAGGAUUAGAUACCCUGGUAGUCCACGCCGUAAACGAUGUCGACUUGGAGGUUGUGCCCUUGAGGCGUGGCUUCCGGAGCUAACGCGUUAAGUCGACCGCCUGGGGAGUACGGCCGCAAGGUUAAAACUCAAAUGAAUUGACGGGGGCCCGCACAAGCGGUGGAGCAUGUGGUUUAAUUCGAUGCAACGCGAAGAACCUUACCUGGUCUUGACAUCCACGGAAGUUUUCAGAGAUGAGAAUGUGCCUUCGGGAACCGUGAGACAGGUGCUGCAUGGCUGUCGUCAGCUCGUGUUGUGAAAUGUUGGGUUAAGUCCCGCAACGAGCGCAACCCUUAUCCUUUGUUGCCAGCGGUCCGGCCGGGAACUCAAAGGAGACUGCCAGUGAUAAACUGGAGGAAGGUGGGGAUGACGUCAAGUCAUCAUGGCCCUUACGACCAGGGCUACACACGUGCUACAAUGGCGCAUACAAAGAGAAGCGACCUCGCGAGAGCAAGCGGACCUCAUAAAGUGCGUCGUAGUCCGGAUUGGAGUCUGCAACUCGACUCCAUGAAGUCGGAAUCGCUAGUAAUCGUGGAUCAGAAUGCCACGGUGAAUACGUUCCCGGGCCUUGUACACACCGCCCGUCACACCAUGGGAGUGGGUUGCAAAAGAAGUAGGUAGCUUAACCUUCGGGAGGGCGCUUACCACUUUGUGAUUCAUGACUGGGGUGAAGUCGUAACAAGGUAACCGUAGGGGAACCUGCGGUUGGAUCACCU
rnacentral:rRNA from 1 species